rnacentral:lncRNA from 1 species
GUCUGUGGUCCGCUGGACUUCGAUUGGUCCAUCUGUCCUUCACGCUGGAAGACGUACGGAGCCGCGAGACUCUGGAGGUCGCAUUUGAAUUUGUGGCGCGUCGAGUUCGUGAGGUGGAGAAGGGAGCGGGGCGUCUUCCUGGAGCCCCAAACCGGGUGGUGAGCGACCCUGGAGGGAGAAAGGUGAAAAGGGCGGACGAGGUGGUAUUCCCAUUUUAUAGAUGAGGAACCUGAAGCUCAGAUAGAGUAAGUACUUCACUCAUGACAGAGGGAAGGAAUGACUGCCUCUGUUAGACUUCAGAGUGUAUUUUCUACUAUAUAGUACUCAUUAUUUUUCCUUUGUCCUUCUCAUUACACCGCCUCUUCAUUAUCUUUGUGUAUUUGAAGAUAGUUUUUAUUAGAAAUUUUGGGAUAAGAAUUUGUCUCAUGAUUUUUCACUUGUGAUUUAGAAAGAAUCAUGUUAAAUAUUACAUAAUUAGAAUAGGUAUGAAGAGAAUUGAAUUCUUGUGCUAUCUCUGAUUCUGGCUAUAUAACAUUGGGACAAAUCACCUAUUUGGGGUCUUUUUUUUUUUUUUUGACUUUUUGUCUUUUUGUAUUUUCUAAAGGGCCACACCUGCGGCAUAUUGAGGUUCCCAGGCUAGGGGUCUAAUCGGAGGUACAACUGCCAGCCUACACCAGAGCCAUAGAAAUGCAGGAUCCGAGCCACAUCUGCCAUCUACACCACAGCUCACGAAAACGCCAGAUCCUUAACCCACUGAGCAAGGCCAGGGAUUGAACGCGCAACCUCAUGGUUCCUAGUCAGAUUUGGUAACCACUGAGCCACGAUGGGAAUUCCCUAUUUGGGGUCUUAUUUUUAAAAUGCUGUCAUCGGUUUGGAUGAUUUUAAAGAUUUCCUCAAACUCUAAAAUUUAAUUUGACUCUAUUUAGAUUUAGUGUUUAUACUUGUUUUUUUAUAAUGUUUAUGCUUGUUUUUUAGCACAGAUAAGAAUUUUACCACAUGUAUUUUAUCCCAUUAAAUGUUAUAUUUUAUUAAAGUUAGGGGACAAGGAGAUCUGAUUUUUAUUCUUUAUUUGCACUCUUAUAUCCAGUAUUGAAGUUCAAUAAUUGGAAGAAAUUCCAUAUAAAGAAGUAAUUAAUCUUAGUAUAAAGAUACUCUUUCUUUUAAACUAUUGAAGAUUCUUUUAGUCUUUACAGUUAGAAGGAAAGCUUAAUAUUAUAAAAGGAUAUAUAUUGUUUUUCAUAGAAAAUAUUUAUAUCAAAGAAGAUAGGGAAAGGGGACUGUUACCUUUAAAGCACUUGAAAGUUUUUACCAAUAAUACUAAUAGAAAUUAUAGUUCUACGUAAUUUUUAUUGAGAGUUAAUUUUUUGCUAUUGUAUUGUACUAAGCAUUUUAUAUACAUUGCAUCAUUUACUAUUCAUGAAAGCCCUAUGAUAUAGGUGUGAUUAUUAUUCCCAUUUUACAUGUUAGGAGAUAGAAAAUUGAUGAGUUAGCAAUUUCUUUUAGAGCUACAGUUAGUAAGUGGUAAAGCUGAGAUUUGAAUCUAUACAGUACUGCAGAGAUUUUAUUUACAAACUGGAGGAUAAUUAUAAUCAGGUUAUCAUUGAUAAUGCUUACAAAUGAAACAUGAAAUUUUUUAGGAAAAUAUUAGGUUUGAUGACUUUUGGUAAAUGACAGUUUCCAAGUUCUCAGUUUUGAUCACUACUUAGUUAUAUAUUUUACUGAUACAGUCAUAAAACAUGUAAUAACUUUUGGAUAAUUUUAUAACAUUACUUAUUUUCUGAAGAGUUAAUAAAUUCCUUUGAAGUUAUAGGAAAACA